rnacentral:rRNA from 1 species
UGCGAGUCAUGCGUCUCUAGCUAUGUUGAGACGCGGCAGACGGCUCAGUAACGCGUGGCUAACCUACCCUCAGGACGAAGAUAACCCCGGGAAACUGGGGAUAAUAUUCGAUAGGUGAGGAUGUCUGGAAUGACUUCUCUCCUAAAGGACUUAGAUACAUGCUUCUAUUUCGCCUGGGGAUGGGGCCGCGCCCGAUCAGGUUGUUGGUGAGGUAACGGCUCACCAAGCCUAUAACCGGUACGGGCCGUGAGAGCGGUAGCCCGGAGAUGGGUACUGAGACAAGGACCCAGGCCCUACGGGGCGCAGCAGUCGCGAAAACUCCGCAAUGCACGAAAGUGUGACGGGGCUACCCCGAGUGCCAUCCGCUGAGGAUGGCUUUUCUUUGGUAUAACUAGCCAUGGGAAUAAGGAGAGGGCAAGACUGGUGUCAGCCGCCGCGGUAAUACCAGCUCUCCGAGUGGUAGGGAUGAUUAUUGGGCUUAAAGCGUCCGUAGCCGGCUUAGCAAGUUUCCUGUUAAACCCAGCGACUCAAUCGUUGGAUCGCGGGAAAUACUACUAGGCUAGGAGGCGGGAGAGGUCAACGGUACUUCUGGGGUAGGGGUGAAAUCCUAUAAUCCCGGGAGGACCACCAGUGGCGAAGGCUGUUGACUAGAACGCGCUCGACGGUGAGGGACGAAAGCUGGGGGAGCGAACCGGAUUAGAUACCCGGGUAGUCCCAGCUGUAAACGAUGCGAGCUAGGUGUUGGAAUGGCUACGGGCCAUUUCAGUGCCGCAGGCAGCCAUUAAGCUCGCCGCCUGGAGAGUACGGCCGCAAGGCUGAACUUAA